CUCCAGAGACCUUUGGUAAAGACUUUUGUUUCCUGUCAGUGCUUUUUGGAGUUGGAUCGAUUUCUUUUGGCGAAGAGGGAGCAAAUAAAAGACCAUCUUUCUUCAGGGACAUGGGAACAUGAACGCUCCUGAUGUGAGCUCCAAUGAUGCUGACCUGCUAUGAGCUCUCAAAUUGAAGGAAAAGUCUUGAUCCUCUUGGCCCAGAAUCAGGGGGCUGAUCACAAUGACCCCAGUUCCUCUGCUGCUGUAUUACAUCCCAGCUGGAUGGAGCACUUCCCUUCCAGAGAAAGGUGGCUGAGGCAGAAGCAGCGUGUGAGAAACUACUGAUGCCAGCUGGCUCUUGUCCUCAGAAGCACUCUGAAAUUAGCUUACCUGCUUGUUUAACCAAAGAGAAUGUAAGUUCCUAGAGCAGGGGUUAACAAAUUUUUUUUCUGAAGAGCCAGCUAGUAAACAUUUUAGGCUUUCUCAGCCAUAUGGUCUCUGUUGCAACUACUCGACUCUGCUGUUGUAGUGUGAAAGCAGCCCUAGACCAUACGUAAACGGAGCGUGGCU